AAAAGAACCUGAAACCGUGUACGUACAAGCAGUGGGAGCACCCUUUGGGUGUGACUGCGUACCUUUUGUAUAAUGGGUCAGCGACUUAUAUUCUGUAGCAAGGUUAACCGAAUAGGGGAGCCGGAGGGAAACCGAGUCUUAACCGGGCGUUAAGUUGCAGGGUAUAGACCCGAAACCCGGUGAUCUAGCCAUGGGCAGGUUGAAGGUUGGGUAACACUAACUGGAGGACCGAACCGACUAAUGUUGAAAAAUUAGCGGAUGACCUGUGGCUGGGGGUGAAAGGCCAAUCAAACCGGGAGAUAGCUGGUUCUCCCCGAAAGCUAUUUAGGUAGCGCCUCGUGAAUUCAUCUCCGGGGGUAGAGCACUGUUUCGGCUAGGGGGCCAUCCCGGCUUACCAACCCGAUGCAAACUGCGAAUACCGGAGAAUGUUAUCACGGGAGACACACGGCGGGUGCUAACGUCCGUCGUGAAGAGGGAAACAACCCAGACCGCCAGCUAAGGUCCCAAAGUCAUGGUUAAGUGGGAAACGAUGUGGGAAGGCCCAGACAGCCAGGAUGUUGGCUUAGAAGCAGCCAUCAUUUAAAGAAAGCGUAAUAGCUCACUGGUCGAGUCGGCCUGCGCGGAAGAUGUAACGGGGCUAAACCAUGCACCGAAGCUGCGGCAGCGACACUGUGUGUUGUUGGGUAGGGGAGCGUUCUGUAAGCCUGUGAAGGUGUGUCGUGAGGCAUGCUGGAGGUAUCAGAAGUGCGAAUGCUGACAUAAGUAACGAUAAAGCGGGUGAAAAGCCCGCUCGCCGGAAGACCAAGGGUUCCUGUCCAACGUUAAUCGGGGCAGGGUGAGUCGACCCCUAAGGCGAGGCCGAAAGGCGUAGUCGAUGGGAAACGGGUUAAUAUUCCCGUACUUGGUGUUACUGCGAAGGGGGGACGGAGAAGGCUAUGUUGGCCGGGCGACGGUUGUCCCGGUUUAAGCGUGUAGGUGUGUGUUCCAGGUAAAUCCGGUUCACUUUAACACUGAGGCGUGACGACGAGGCACUACGGUGCUGAAGCAACAAAUGCCCUGCUUCCAGGAAAAGCCUCUAAGCAUCAGGUAACAUCAAAUCGUACCCCAAACCGACACAGGUGGUCAGGUAGAGAAUACCAAGGCGCUUGAGAGAACUCGGGUGAAGGAACUAGGCAAAAUGGUGCCGUAACUUCGGGAGAAGGCACGCUGACACGUAGGUGAAGUGAUUUACUCAUGGAGCUGAAGUCAGUCGAAGAUACCAGCUGGCUGCAACUGUUUAUUAAAAACACAGCACUGUGCAAACACGAAAGUGGACGUAUACGGUGUGACGCCUGCCCGGUGCCGGAAGGUUAAUUGAUGGGGUCAGCGCAAGCGAAGCUCCUGAUCGAAGCCCCGGUAAACGGCGGCCGUAACUAUAACGGUCCUAAGGUAGCGAAAUUCCUUGUCGGGUAAGUUCCGACCUGCACGAAUGGCGUAAUGAUGGCCAGGCUGUCUCCACCCGAGACUCAGUGAAAUUGAACUCGCUGUGAAGAUGCAGUGUACCCGCGGCAAGACGGAAAGACCCCGUGAACCUUUACUAUAGCUUGACACUGAACAUUGAGCCUUGAUGUGUAGGAUAGGUGGGAGGCUUUGAAGUGUGGACGCCAGUCUGCAUGGAGCCGACCUUGAAAUACCACCCUUUAAUGUUUGAUGUUCUAACGUGGACCCGUUACCCGGGUUGCGGACAGUGUCUGGUGGGUAGUUUGACUGGGGCGGUCUCCUCCUAAAGAGUAACGGAGGAGCACGAAGGUUGGCUAAUCCUGGUCGGACAUCAGGAGGUUAGUGCAAUGGCAUAAGCCAGCUUGACUGCGAGCGUGACGGCGCGAGCAGGUGCGAAAGCAGGUCAUAGUGAUCCGGUGGUUCUGAAUGGAAGGGCCAUCGCUCAACGGAUAAAAGGUACUCCGGGGAUAACAGGCUGAUACCGCCCAAGAGUUCAUAUCGACGGCGGUGUUUGGCACCUCGAUGUCGGCUCAUCACAUCCUGGGGCUGAAGUAGGUCCCAAGGGUAUGGCUGUUCGCCAUUUAAAGUGGUACGCGAGCUGGGUUUAGAACGUCGUGAGACAGUUCGGUCCCUAUCUGCCGUGGGCGCUGGAGAACUGAGGGGGGCUGCUCCUAGUACGAGAGGACCGGAGUGGACGCAUCACUGGUGUUCGGGUUGUCAUGCCAAUGGCACUGCCCGGUAGCUAAAUGCGGAAGAGAUAAGUGCUGAAAGCAUCUAAGCACGAAACUUGCCCCGA
rnacentral:rRNA from 1 species